AUUUUUGGGCUAUUCUUGGAGGAAAUUCUUAGGCCCAUUUCGUCGACCCAAUUCCCUGACCCAGUCCAGCCUCCAAACGACGCCGUUUCAACUCGAGUAAUCUGGGCCGGUAACGACCCUCAUUUUUUCUUGGGUAAUUAUAAAAGUGUCUGAAACCAUUAAUUAAACAUAAAACUUUUUUCAUCUUCAUCGUACUAACCCCCCUAUAACACCGGAAAUUUUACCACCGUGUCUCCGCCGUCCGCCGCCGCCGGAGCUCCAAAUCGCCCCAAAGUUACACCCCCCACUCUCCUCAACCUCCUCUUUCCAUAUAUGCUAAUGGUUUCCCUCGAAUCGUCACCCAAUUGUUCGAAUCUUGAAUUUAAGUUUUCCGGCCAAGUAACUACCUCACCCAAACUCGCCAUAAAUCACACCCCCGUAAUUCCCUGACCUCCCUCAUCCCCAAUACCUAACCAAAAUCCUUCUAAUCCAAGUAGAAUUGAGCGAAUUUCAAAUUUGAGGUUCAUGAAGUCGGGUCUGUUCUGAGGCAUUCGGAAUCAGUCGAUUUUUGCUUGAUGUUAUAUGUCUAUUUUUGACGAAAUAGAUAAUAACAUUAGUCGAAAAUUAAUUUAUACGUUUGGCCAAGGAUUUUGAAAUCAGCAAGUUCCCUUUCAAUUUUAUUUUUGUUUAUCUUGGUUCUCGUGAGUUCUAGUUCAUUAAUGGUAAAUCGAUAUUAUUAGGUUUUAGGCGUUAGUUUGAUUUUUAGUUUGGUUAACUCUCGUCUUAUCGUUUCUAUUCUGAUUGUUGUUCUAAUUUUGUGAUCGAUAUCAUUUGCUUGUUCAUCUCGUUUAGAUUCUAAUUCAUUUUAACUUUUGGUUUUACUCUGAUUAUUAGUGUAAUUCAUUGCUAAUUUGUUAUGAUAGUUUGGGCCUUGUUUGAAUAUGAUUCCUUAUGAUUUAGCGUUAAUGAGUUAGGUUAAAUUAGUGUGAUUAGCAUGGCAGUACUUCAUAUCUAAUAGGUUUAAGCUUGUAUUAAGUUGAUCCUGAAUGUGUAAUGCAAUUUGUUUAUCCGUUUAGUUCAUUGUUCAAUAAGUUUAACUGUAGGUGAAUUGGUUUGUAGCUGUUAACUUUAAUUAGGAUAAAAGAGGAUUGAUUUAUCUGUUUAGUUCAUUGUUCAAUAAGUUUAACUGUAGGUGAAUUGGUUUGUAGCUGUUAACUUUAAUUAGGAUAAAAGAGGAUUGAAUUCAUGUAGGACUAGGAUAGUAAUUUCAGGAGCAUUUUAAGUAUAGAAAAGGGUAGUUUUAUUAGGAAUAGUAAUUCCAAAACAAAUACAAGGGUAGUAUAGGUUUUGUGUAGCUAAAAGAACACCCUAUGGCCUUCUAGAAUAGGACUUUAGCGUAGAAUUCAAUAAACUCAGGGCACUUACUUGAGUAACAAGUCCAAAAUAGGAAAACUAAUCUGAAAAUGAGGAGGGAAUAAAAGGAAAACUAAAAAUUGAGGGCUGCCCUCCCUUAGGCCUAUAAAAAGGCAUCAUUAGUGCCUUAUAAUACAAGGUUUUGAGCUCAAAACCCCAAAAACAUUCUCCCAUUUCCAGAUCAAAAACUGGAAUUCAAACAACAACAACAACUACCCAGUAUAGUCCCACAAAGUGGGGAUAUCCCCCCAAAGGUUCUCACUAGUUCUCAUAUCUGAUUUUUUAAUUCAAAUUCAAAAAACCAAAAACAAAUAGAAAAUAGAACAAAAUCCAAAAAUAUCACGGUUUCAUUGCUUUCCUUAGUUUAGUUUCAGAUUCUAGCUCUAGUUCAAUUUUAAUUCAUUUCAAAACUCAAAAAAUAGUUUGAAUUCUCUAAUUCCGUUAAAUAUUAAAAUUUUGAAACUGUUUGAGGUCAUUUGGGCAUUGGUGUUGGUUAAUUGUAGUCAAUUGUGGCUUAAUUAGUAGGGUAUACUGCUUUCCUGGGUCAUUUCGGAGUACUUUGGUACCGUUGGGAUUAUUUUGUUGACCGUGCUUGGUUUUUCAAAACACUCAUGGGUUUGAGUUUGAUUUUGAACUGCUGCUGAUAAUUGUAUUUGCUGCUCAUCUCUCCUCAUUGAAUCUCAAUUUCAGGUGCACACUCCUUAUCUCUAAUGAUGUAAAAAUUUGGUUCAAAUAUGUAGAUGAUAUGGAAAGUUAAUGAAGGAAAAAUUGCUCUGUUUAUUUGAAUUCGUUAAGAUUUUUUUGUAGCUUUAAACAUUCAGAUUAGAUGCUCAUGUUAUUUGGGAUUGUACUUUAUCAUAGCUACAAUAGUAACUAGUCUCCUAUUGAAUGAGGAAAGGUAUUAGCUAUAGGUAUUUUAUCUGUGUGUUCAACACAAACUUUUGAACUGAAUAACUAUUCGAGUUAGAAAUGAGUCGUUGGAUUUAGCUAGUUUAGUUUUGCUUCUGAAUAAUUUGGUUAUAGAAAGUGGAAGAUUAGUUGAAACAUGAAAUAGUUUCGAGUUUUGGAAUUCUCAUGCAUAUUAAUAAUUUUCCAACUAAGUCGACCUUGUUCAUAAUUGCAGUAGUUUAUAUCUAAAUUCCCAGGUUAUUUGAGUGUUGACUUAGUAACGUUAGCUAAAAUCAAUUUACAAAUAAUCAACACAUUGUGUGUUAAUAACAUCGUGUUUUUUCAAUUUGUUUUAUCAUCUUAUUAGUACUUCAGAACUCAACAGAAAAGCCAAUAAUCAACAUCCUGUUAGUUUGAGUAAUUGUGAAUUGUGUCUCCCUAUUGUAACUCAUUGAAUACAUUUGGAUCUAUUUGUGUUAAUAUCGACAUGCAUUAAGCCUAUACGUGUGCCUCGUUUUGGGAUUGGGCUCAUUUUGAGCCCAAAGUUGGCUGUUUCAUGGACGUAGGCAGCCUAGCUCAGGUGACCAGACUGCCUCAUUUGUGGGUCGAUUCUUAGGCAAAAUAAAAUCACAUUGGGAAUACGGGGUAUUAACUUGCGUAUAAAUUUAGAUUUUUGAGUUAAGUAGCAGGUUCAAGCAAAAAGGGUCCUCCCUUUGUUUGUA
rnacentral:lncRNA from 1 species